AGGAAUUAAUGCACAUUUUGCACCUUGUGUGUGAUGUGUGGUAGCCCAGCCAAGCCAUCACGACGUGUAAUAACUAUGCGGAAUUAAACUCACAUUUCUACACGGCGACAUACUGAGCAAAAAAAACUUGGCUUCAGGUGGAUACAUGUUUAAAUAUGCGAACAAAUAACUCGGCGUGAAAUUACAAAAGCUACUGAAAAUCUGGAUCGUUUGCAACGAAUUUGCCACAGACCAGGCAGGACCAGCAACGGGUAUUUGGGACUCAUGCAAAUCUGGUUUUGAAACUGGCCUACGACUACAACCACGAACCAUGGCGCCGCUGUUUUUGGACAUUUUGCUAAAUUUUUGGACUGAACGCCGUUAGUGUGGG